ensembl:snoRNA
GACCUCAAUAUCUUGGUCAAUGUGGCUAAACUGAGACAGGUUAUGCGUCCAUCACAGUAAGUGCAUUGCAGUAGUGACAAUGAGACUUGUAACAUUU